CCUACGUGAGGCUGCAGUAGGGAAUCUUCCACAAUGGGCGAAAGCCUGAUGGAGCAACGCCGCGUGGGUGAAGAAGGUCUUCGGAUCGUAAAACCCUGUUGUUAGAGAAGAAAGUGCGUGAGAGUAACUGUUCACGUUUCGACGGUAUCUAACCAGAAAGCCACGGCUAACUACGUGCCAGCAGCCGCGGUAAUACGUAGGUGGCAAGCGUUAUCCGGAUUUAUUGGGCGUAAAGGGAACGCAGGCGGUCUUUUAAGUCUGAUGUGAAAGCCUUCGGCUUAACCGGAGUAGUGCAUUGGAAACUGGGAGACUUGAGUGCAGAAGAGGAGAGUGGAACUCCAUGUGUAGCGGUGAAAUGCGUAGAUAUAUGGAAGAACACCAGUGGCGAAAGCGGCUCUCUGGUCUGUAACUGACGCUGAGGUUCGAAAGCGUGGGUAGCAAACAGGAUUAGAUACCCUAGUAGUC
rnacentral:rRNA from 1 species